AUCAAUCAUGUAUAUCCAGGUUGCAGCAAUGGAGUUGCCGAUGAGGAACUUAAUUAACAGCUUAAAUGUGUGCCUGAUUUAUAAAUACAGAGGCAUUACUAGGCUUGCUUAAACUGUUCCCAUAACAUUUAAUAUCUUAUUAUAGAUGUGAUAUAUAGAUGUUUGCUUCUUCUUUGCACUGAUAUAUAGUCACAGGCUUUGUUGUGGUACUACUGAAUCACUUGGAGGCAUCUCUAAAGAACGAUUCCUGCACCAAACCAGGCCAUCUCAUUGGGCCACGUUACCUGGUUUUCCUUCAUCCGUAAGAUUCCAAAGGAACGGUCCUCGAGCGUUUUAGCGUCGCACUGUUCUCGAGCGUUUUAGCGUAGCCUCUGUAUACAGGCUGGUUCCAAAGGCUUCGUGAAGCCUCUGGUAAAUCCCGGACAGUAGAUAUAUUUUUUACCCUGUCGUUCCCUCUUCUCUUCCAUUCACUGCUAUUUCUUUCUCAUCUCUUCCACCGUCACGAACGCAGAGAAGACCACUCCAGUCAAUCGAAAGAGAUGGUCGAUACUCUUGAAGGAAAGUGAUAGAUGGAAGGUGCUGCAAGCGAAGGACGGUUUGAUCUGCUGGAUGAGGAGUUUUGAUCCAAGCUUAGUGAUGUCCACAGAUGUGUUCGAGCUUUGAUAUUUUGGUUUAGACUGUGGCUUUGUAAUAGACUCUGUUUAGUAUCCUUUGGUUCAUUGAGAUACUGGCUUCCCAGUUUGUAUCCAAACUUGGUGCUUUAUAAAAGCAGAGGUUUUCUCUUUAAAAAAAAUCUUUCCUCUUGAUU